GCGCAUUUUUGUUAUUCGACGAUGUCCAUGGUAUAAUAUAUACCUAUAUAUAGGUACGCUGAAACAAUUUUUAAUUUUUAUUACAAUGUGCUUAUACGGUAUGCAUUCGUUUUUUUUUUUUUUUUUUUAUAUAUAGUGUAUAAUAUUAACAUAAAACAUCGUAUGAGAAAUGUACAUUUAUUUUAUUUUUUUUUUUUGAAAGAUUUUCUUUUAGGUUUUUCAAUAAGAAAAAAAAAAUCGAAAAAAUAGAUAAACCCCUUUUUUCUUGUUAUCAUAAACUAAGGUUUACGUGGUAUUAUAUGAUUCGCAGUAUUACUAUUUAGACUUUAGUUGUAAUAUAAUGUACUAUAUCCUAUUUAACUGUGGUGGUAUAUAAUAUUGUUACAGUAGUAUAAUAUUCUUAUAUUUUUUAGAACGUAGAACGAACGGGUUACAGGAAAAAGUAUUGAAAAAUAAAACAACUUAACGGUUAUAUUUAAAUAAGUACUUACUGAUAUUUUCUUUAUAGCACAUAGGUAUAUUAUUAACUCUACAGUAUAGCGAUUUAAAUCAAUUCUACUUCAAUCGAUCCUGCCGAAUGCCGAUGUUAUAAAGCGAUAAGAAUUAUUUUGAAAACAGAUUUGAAUUCAGCGUGAAGUGUACAUGAUACAUCGGAACAUGUCCCUUUUUGAAUUUCAGUACCUAGUUCUCAAAAAUUUGACUUGUCAAUAAUAAAAUGUGUACACAUCUUAUACUAUACAAACAUAAAAUGGACUAAAUUGCGUAUGUGUUCUGAUAGCGUACGUAUGAAUCUAUAUAAGUUUGGAAUGUACAAACUUGGUUUCCAGAUUUCCCCCUUCUCCCGGCUAUCGGUACUCUUUUUUUUUCUGUGUGUGUGUGUGUAUUAGAGUCUAAUAGUUACACAAUGAAAAACAAACACGGUAUUUAUUUUUCACUUAAAAUAUACCUACCUACUAUAAUAAUGUUUGAUUCAACGCUGUUUAAAUUGUCUACAAAUACCUAAUUAAUUGAUCUCAACAAUUGACGUACAUGUAACUUUUUUUAUGAACAUAAUAUUAUAUAAUUUAUUAUAAUAUUGUUAAAUAUGCACAAAAAACACUUUAGAUGUACCGCAAUGUACACUAUCUUUGAUACCAGUGGAGAAGGGGUUAAGUUAAUUUAUUUUGUCUAAUGAAAUUUGUUGGUCUAAAUUACAUAAAUCACAUAAGUGUACGUAUUUUCAAAAUGUAAUCAGCUUGUAUUGAAAACUAUAAAAUCUUGGCUAAAGCCCUUCAUCUCUGGACCAAAGACAUAUUACAUAUAUAGGUACACAAUUUGUCUAGUAUACAAAGUAUACAACUAUUUUUACUAGCACAUUAUAUUUUUAGAAUUUAGUAAUGCUUUGUUCAGAAAUGUUCUAUUAUAUUGUAAAUGUACACUGUUAAUAUUAUAUUUUUUUUUUCAUGUUUACACUGACAGCAGUGGAAGAUCUGUUUUCACAAUACUACCCCACUGCUGCCA